UAACAUGCUGAUUUAGAUCAUUUAGACAAACGUCACGGAGAACUUAAUGUUUUUUUAAGCAGAUUAGGGAAAUUCGAGCCUGUAGGUCACGUGUGAUCUCGUUUCUGCCGCGCUCUUACACAGCUCUAGACGAAAUCAUCGGCAAAGUAAACAAAGUGAUUACUUUGGUAAUUACACUCGGACACGCCUGAUUCCACUCUACAGCUAAACAUGUUGCCCUAAAGAGCUUCCUCUGAAGGUGAAGCGUGUUAGAGAGGAGAGGAGAGGAGAGGAGAAGAGAAGUGAGGAGAAGAGGAGAGAGGAGAAGAGAAGUGAGGAGAAGAGGAGAGAGGAGAAGAGAAGUGAGGAGAAGAGAAGUGAGGAGAAGAGAAGUGAGGAGAAACAAUGAGAAGAGAAACAAUGAAGAGAGACGAGAAGAGAAGUGAGGAGAGACGAAACAACGAGAAAAGAGCCAAUAAGAGAAUAGAGAAGAAGAGAAGAAAAACAAUGAGAAGAGACGAGAAAUAAUGAGAAGAGAAAGACACGAGAGGAGAUGAGAAAAGAAACGAAGAGAAGAGAAUGAGAAGAAAAGAGAAAAGAGAAGAGAACCAAUGAGAAGAAAAGAGAACCAAUGAGAAGAAAAGAGAAGACAAGAGAAGAGAAGAGAACCAAUGAGAAGAGAAGAGAACCAAUGAGAAGAAAAGAGAAGGGAGGAGAAGAGAAACAAUGACAAGAGAACCAAUGAGAAGAGAACAGAACCAAUGAGAAGAGAACAGAACCAAUGAGAAGAGGACAGAACCAAUGAGAAGAGAACAGAACCAAUGAGAAGAGAAGAGAACCAAUGAGAAGAGAAGAGAACCAAUGAGAAGAGAGCCAAUGAGAAGAGAACCAAUGAGAAGACAAGAGAGGACAGCAGGAUCCUCAGGUGUGUUUGGAGCUUCCUGACGUGUGGGUGUCCUCGGCUGAGCUCACACCGUACCUGCACGAGUACAGAGUUCACACAAACUCCUCAAGAGAAGAACUGAGUGCAAAUGGAGGAGAACUUUAUGGAAACGUUCCACACAUGAUUCAGCUCACAGGUUAAAAAAAAAGAAAAGAAAAAAGAAAGAAGAAGAAGAAGCACUGACUACCUGAUUAAUCCGGGAACUUCAGAGCCGUGAGGCACCGGCCCAGACGUCGGGAUUGCAAAACUCCCGUCUGCGUUCUGGAGAUUCUCCUUCAGGAAAAUGGACACCUGGGAGAAGGAACGUCACAGCUAGCCAUGGAUCAGUGUGUUGAACUCACCUCUACUACAGGGAUGUUGCUUAGGAUGCCAAAUAUUUCCUCUAUAAAAGCUCUGCCUGUUCAAAUCAACCUCGAGAGAGCUUUUGCAUUCCUUCUAGGACUGUAUGUAAAGUCGAGUGCAAAAGUUUGUGCACCCUCAAGACAAUAGACAGUGUGUUUGUCUUCACAGUUGGCUGUUCAUCGUGACAGAAGUAACUAAAAAGGGUCCAAUAUAUUAUAUUAUCUCCAUUCAUUCAUGUGAUAAAUAUUAAUAUCCAAUAACUUUACAAGUGCCCCCAACUUACUUCAUAUCCGCAAACAACAAAGAAAAAAAUUGAGUGUUUAGUUUUGGUUCUUUUCAAAAAAAAAAUUCUGUCAGUUUAGUGUUGUUUUCGAUUGUGGUUUGUUUUUUACUUAAAUUUCUUGCAGACAAAUUAUAA